AUCCCUCUCUCUUUCUCUUUCCCUCCCUCUCCCUCUCUCUCAGGGUUAUUGGUUUGGCAUUGUUACAUUCAGAGAUGAUGUCUCUUCCUUUCUGUAGACACAUUUACAAGUAUCUACUUAACAAGAAGUCUGGUUUAUAUGAUGUCCUCCCUACUACUAUUGGAAGGUUUGGCUCCUGAGGAUUUGAGGCUUUUGCUCUGUGGGUGUCAGCAGGUUGAGCUUGAUGUACUCAAAAAGAUAACAACUUUCACCGACAAGACUCGUGGGAACUAGGCACUGAUGACAACUUAUUGACAGGCAACUAUAAUUUUUAUUAUUAC